GACGAACGCUGGCGGCGUGCUUAACACAUGCAAGUCGAACGAGUGGCGAACGGGUGAGUAACACGUGGGUGACCUGCCCUGCACUUCGGGAUAAGCCUGGGAAACUGGGUCUAAUACCGGAUAGUGUGGGAUGGGCCCGCGGCCUAUCAGCUUGUUGGUGGGGGAAUGGCUACCAAGGCGCGACGGGUAGCCGGCCUGAGAGGGUGGACGGCCACAUUGGACCUGAGACACGGCCCAGAUUCCUACGGGAGGCAGCAGUGGGGAAUAUUGCACAAUGGGCGGAAGCCUGAUGCAGCGACGCCGCGUGUAUGAAGAAGGCCUUAGGGUUGUAAAACUCUGUUGUUAGAAAAGCGGUAUCUAACCAGAAAGCCACGGCUAACUACGUGCCAGCAGCCGCGGUAAUAC
rnacentral:rRNA from 1 species